rnacentral:rRNA from 1 species
ACCUCAGCUCAAGCAAGAAAACCCGCUGAACUUAAGCAUAUCAAUAAGCGGAGGAAAAGAAACUAACAAGGAUUCCCCUAGUAACGGCGAGUGAAGAGGGAAAAG